GAGUUUGAUCAUGGCUCAGGACGAACGCUGGCGGCACGCCUAACACAUGCAAGUCGAACGGAGAUAUUUUGGUUUACUGAGAUAUCUUAGUGGCGGACGGGUGAGUAACACGUGAGCAACCUGCCUYUGAGAGAGGGAUAGCUUCUGGAAACGGAUGGUAAUACCUCAUAACAUAACGAAGCCGCAUGACUUUGUUAUCAAAGAUUUAUCACUCAGAGAUGGGCUCGCGUCUGAUUAGAUAGUUGGUGAGGUAACGGCUCACCAAGUCGACGAUCAGUAGCCGGACUGAGAGGUUGAACGGCCACAUUGGGACUGAGACACGGCCCAGACUCCUACGGGAGGCAGCAGUGGGGAAUAUCGCACAAUGGGGGAAACCCUGAUGCAGCGAUGCCGCGUGGAGGAAGAAGGUUUUCGGAUUGUAAACUCCUGUCUUAAAGGACGAUAAUGACCGGU
rnacentral:rRNA from 1 species